CCCUUAGAUGUUCUGGGCCGCACGCGUGCUACACUGAUGCAUUCAACGAGUCUAAAACCUGGUCUGAUAGGGCUGGGUAAUCUUUUGAAAGUGCAUCGUGAUUGGGAUAGAUGAUUGCAAUUCUUCAUCUUCAACGAGGAAUGCCUAGUAAACGCAAGUCAUCAGCUUGCAUUGAUUACGUCCCUGCUCUUUGUACACACCGCCCGUCGCUCCUACCGAUUGAAUGAUCCGAUGAAUACCAUGGAUUGAGAGUACGAAUAGGUUCGCUUAUUUCUGCUGCUCGAGAAGUGGAGUAAAUCUUAUCAUUUAGAGGAAGGAGAAGUCGUAACA
rnacentral:rRNA from 1 species